rnacentral:rRNA from 1 species
UACGGAGGGUGCGAGCGUUGUCCGGAAUCAUUGGGCGUAAAGGGCGCGUAGGUGGCGCGGCAAGCGUGCGGUGAAAGCUCGGGGCUCAACCCCGAGUCGGCCGUGCGAACUGCUGGGCUUGAGCACUGUAGAGGCAGGCGGAAUUCCGGGUGUAGCGGUGGAAUGCGUAGAUAUCGGAAGGAACGCCGGUGGCGAAAGCGACGUGCUGGACCGUCUUCUGACGCUGAGGCGCGAAAGCCAGGGGAGCAAACGGG